AACGAACGCUGGCGGCAGGCCUAACACAUGCAAGUCGAGCGCGCCCUUCGGGGUGAGCGGCGGACGGGUGAGUAACGCGUGGGAACGUGCCCUUUUCUACGGAAUAGCCUCGGGAAACUGAGAGUAAUACCGUAUACGCCCUUUGGGGGAAAGAUUUAUCGGAAAAGGAUCGGCCCGCGUUGGAUUAGGUAGUUGGUGGGGUAAUGGCCUACCAAGCCGACGAUCCAUAGCUGGUUUGAGAGGAUGAUCAGCCACACUGGGACUGAGACACGGCCCAGACUCCUACGGGAGGCAGCAGUGGGGAAUCUUAGACAAUGGGGGCAACCCUGAUCUAGCCAUGCCGCGUGAGUGAUGAGGGCCUUAGGGUUGUAAAGCUCUUUCAGCUGGGAAGAUAAUGACGGUACCAGCAGAAGAAGCCCCGGCUAACUCCGUG
rnacentral:rRNA from 1 species